AUCUAUUUGGCAGAUCAGUGCACUAAGUUUAAGCCUUAGAUACAAUAACAUUUCCAUCAUGAA
rnacentral:tRNA from 1 species